UGCGGAACAGGCUUCCAGCUGGCGGGGACCUGGAGGGCGACAGAUCUGAGACAUGUCCUCGGAUUGGACGCCGCGGCUUCAGUAGAUGUAACUCCCUUUCCGAUUGGUUGGAUUCAGAAUCUCUCCAUUCUGAGCUCUUGAACCUACACAGCUUAGUUGUAGGAGAAGGAUUGGAAGCUAACACUGAACAUGCCUGUCUAAUCUGCCAGGCUCUGAGGUUUCACACAUUCUUUUGUCAUUUAAACUUUCCACCAACCCUUUGAAGAAGGUGUUAUUUCCAUUUUCACAAAUAAGGAAACCACCCCUCAGAAGAGCACAAACUGCAUUUGUAAUGGGAAGACAUCUUAAUAUAAAAUACACAGACAUCUUUGAUGUCAUGGCAGGAACCUAAGAAGCUCAGAAUGACAGCUGUGUACUUACUUCAAGGUAAGUGUGUGUUUCUUAUGGAGUAACUUCAGGGCUGUGGCCUUGGGCAGUACUGUUUAGAAAAUGUGAAUCCAAAGUUUGAAAGGUCAGCUUACUCAGAGGGUUAGUGCCCAAGCCAGUGGAAUUAUUCCUCAGGUUGCAUUUUCAAAGUGCACAGUCCUUCCUCCAUCUUUGUGGGACGAUUGAGUCACAGUUUCCAUGACUGCUCUGUAUUUGUUAUACAGAUAAAGGGACCCACGGAUGUGGAGGGCAGGCAACCAUACUCCAUUUACAUAAUGGACUUGAGCGGACGUCCUGGGAGUUUGGUAGUCACAGGGGGUCCCAGAACCAAUCUGUCUCAGACACUGAGGGGCAGCUGUCUGGAGAAUUAUACAGUAUACAGUGUGGACUCAAAAGAUCACUGAGAUAGGUUGCUUUGGGUUUUAUCAUACAGAACUAAACUUCCCGAAUGUCUUUGGAGGAAAAAAAAAAUCCCCAAACUGUAAAACCCCGAAACCCCUCAAACCACCAAGUAAAAUCUCCAAAAAUGGAGAAAUGUCCUCGAGGAAUGGGGUGAGGAGGCUCAUUGGAGUCAAGUUGUUCCGUGCAGAGAGAAUGCGCAUUCCCUUCAGGCAGAAGGAUGGAAAUGAAAAAUACUCAGUCUAGGAACACUCCAGUAAGUUUCUAAGUCAACUUGGGGGUCCCUCAAGCUCCUUCAGCGUUCAUGCUGGGUGCCUUUAUCCUGGUCUGCAAAAGCCUGGCUAAGAGGAUGCCCACCUGUCCUUUUCUGUCUUUGAAAUUGCAUCUCUGGGCUCCUCAGUCUUUGGGCAUCUGUGAGCUCAUCUGCUUUGAGUUGCUUUCUUCCUGGACGGGGAGUUUUAGAGAAGUGACAGUGAGCUACUCACAGGUCAGACAAGGAGGCUUUGGUCAUGUGGGAGACAGCAGAGUGAGGAGGGCGGGAGAAAACUAGACCCCCUCUGGGAGUUCCCUUGUGGCACAGUGGGUUAAAGAUCCAGCGUUGUCACUGCAACAGCUUGGGUUGCCAUUGUGAUGCAAGUUCAAGCUCCAGUCCGGGAACUUGCACAUGCCACAGGCUCGGCCAAAAACCCAAACCAAAACUAAACCCACUCAGAAUAAAGAGGAAAGGCAAGGGGCCAGCUGGGGGGUCCCUGAGGGUGGGGCCCUGGGGCUGAGUGAGGACGACAGUGCCAGGGCAGGGAGAGGGUGAAGCAGGGGUUGCCCUGCCUGAGGGCUUGAGGGCACAUAGAUCAUCCUAUUUUUAAAGUGACGUUUUUUGGGUGUUCAAUUUCUUUAUCAAAUUUAUUUGAGUAACUUCGUGUCCCUUCCAUUCAUGUUAGAUUGAAUGAAGCACAUGCCUUCCAUCACGUCCUCCCAAUAUUUAAUAUUUCCUCUUUUCCUAUUUUCUUUAUUCAUUUCCUGUAAGCAAUGAAACAUUAUAAAUGACUUUCACUCAAGCUUCUAAGACCCCUAGGACCUCUGCCCGAUUAUAUAUAAAGUAGCCAGCACCGAGGUGGACCAGCCAAUGUAAUGAUGAUCAAGAUAGGGGUGACUAUUUACAAUUUGAAAAGUAAGAAAAUGAAGCCAGAUUUUAAGAGAUAUCUAUGAGGGGGUAUAAUGGCAGAGUCAGUAUUGCGAGGAAUGAAAUUCAGAGAUCUGGGCGUUCCUGUUGUGGCUCCGUGGUAUGAACCUGAAUGGUAUCCAUGAGGAUGCGGGUUCGAUCCCUGGCCUCGCUCAGUGGG